GUCUCACUGUCGUGGAUUUGU
rnacentral:miRNA from 1 species